AGAGUUUGAUCAUGGCUCAGGACGAACGCUGGCGGCGUGCUUAACACAUGCAAGUCGAGCGAGGCCCACCUUUCGGGGUGGUGUCCUAGCGGCGAACGGGUGAGUAACACGUGGGCAACCUGCCCUCAGCUCUGGGAUAACUCCGGGAAACCGGGGCUAAUACCGGAUAUGACCACUUCGGGCAUCUGUGGUGGUGGAAAGUUUUUCGGCUGAGGAUGGGCCCGCGGCCUAUCAGCUUGUUGGUGGGGUGAUGGCCUACCAAGGCGACGACGGGUAGCCGGCCUGAGAGGGUGACCGGCCACACUGGGACUGAGACACGGCCCAGACUCCUACGGGAGGCAGCAGUGGGGAAUAUUGCGCAAUGGGCGGAAGCCUGACGCAGCGACGCCGCGUGAGGGACGAAGGCCUUCGGGUUGUAAACCUCUUUCAGCAGGGACGAAGCGAAAGUGACGGUACCUGCAGAAGAAGCACCGGCCAACUACGUGCCAGCAGCCGCGGUAAUACGUAGGGUGCAAGCGUUGUCCGGAAUUAUUGGGCGUAAAGAGCUCGUAGGCGGUCUGUUGCGUCGGCUGUGAAAACCCGGGGCUCAACCCCGGGCCUGCAGCCGAUACGGGCAGACUAGAGUUCGGUAGGGGAGACUGGAAUUCCUGGUGUAGCGGUGAAAUGCGCAGAUAUCAGGAGGAACACCGGUGGCGAAGGCGGGUCUCUGGGCCGAUACUGACGCUGAGGAGCGAAAGCGUGGGGAGCGAACAGGAUUAGAUACCCUAGUAGUCC
rnacentral:rRNA from 1 species